GGAAAAAGGAGACCUCCGCCUCCCUAAGACU
rnacentral:tRNA from 1 species